rnacentral:lncRNA from 1 species
AUGAAGUCCUGGAACUACAGGCUUUUCUGCUUCAGUGCACUUGGGAGUGGUGAAUGGAAAACACUUGAAAUAAAUCUGCUGCAAGCAGCGAGGGCCUUUGUGGUACAUGGAAUGAAAAGAAGUGCUGUGUCUGAACUGCUGUGCACAGGAGAAAAUAAGGAAAUAUUCCAGCACUGGUUCGCCAGGAGGCCAGAUGCUCUUCAGCAUAAGAAUAAAGCCCUCCUAGAUAUGCUGCAGUUUAGAAUCCUAAUACUGUUCAGAGAAUGGAUACAAACACAGAAUGGAGAAGUGUGAACAUGGCUUGGCAGCACUGGUCAAAACAGUGACAAUAAAGGAAGUGUAAUCUGCCA